GGUUCCAUGGUGUAACGGUUAGCACUCUGGACUUUGAAUCCAGCAAUCUGAGUUC
rnacentral:tRNA from 1 species